AGAGAUGUGUGAUGACGCAUAUCAAUAAGCGGAGGAAAAGAAACAAACAAGGAUUCCCUUAGUAACGGCGAGUGAAGCGGGAAGAGCUCAAAUUUGAAAUCUUCAAGGUUCUACCUUGACGAAUUGUAGUUUAUAGAAGUGUUUUCUGUUAGUAGAGUGGCAAAAGUUCUUUGGAAUAGGACAUCAUAGAGGGUGAGAAUCCCGUAUUUGGUCAUUCUUUCUAGCUUUGUGAUACACUUUCAACGAGUCGGAUUGUUUGGGAAUGCAGUCCAAGAUGGGUGGUAAAUUUCAUCUAAAGCUAAAUAUUGGCGAGAGACCGAUAGCGAACAAGUACCGUGAGGGAAAGAUGAAAAGAACUUUGAAAAGAGAGUUAAACAGUACGUGAAAUUGUCAAAAGGGAAGCGUUUGACACCAGUGUUGUUUUUCCGAAAAUCAAUUACGAAUGUUUUGUUUUUGAGGAAGUUAUGACUUCAUCGGCUUGCUCUCUUCUUUAUGAAACUUUCUUAAUGCACUUUUCGGUUAACAAGUCAACAUCAAUUUCUUUUGUUGUAAAAGGGUAUGAGGAAGGUGGCUUUCUUUUCGGAGAAAGUGUUUAUAGCCUUGUACCUCUGCAAUCGGAGAGAUUGAGGUCUGCAGCGUAGAUCCUUCGGGGUUAGAUACAUUUGUGCUAAGUUAUAGCUUUUCAUAGACAACUUGUUGACUAUGUUAAGUCUUAUAGCUUACUCGCUUAUGCUAUUUUACCUACGCUUAGGAUGUUGAUCUGUAGUGCGUGCGC
rnacentral:rRNA from 1 species